CCAUUAGUUUGACAGUGGAAAGCAGUUGAGAAACGAAGCUUAUACCCAUCAUCCACCAUAGUGUCCUCCAAAAAUGACUAGUGAACUUGACAUCCCUAUCAGACACUAUGGUACUAGGCAACCCAUGGUACUUGACCACUUCAUUGAAGAAGAGUUUGGUGAUCACUAAUGCAUCAGAAGUUUUGGAACAUGGAAUAAAAUGCACCAUCUUCGAGAAGCGGUCUACUACCACAAA